rnacentral:lncRNA from 1 species
CUCAGACUUAACUCAAGUUCUAACUACGGAUGGUGUAUAUCAAACCUGAGUUAGACAUGCUUUUGGGACCACUUCUUGGGAAACGGCUACACCGCCUCUUCAUGAUCGUACCGUUGUCCUUUGUGUCUCCAAGAGUUCAAAAGCACAUUUGGAAUGUUGUGAUAAGCGUGACUUGAUGAUGCAAGACAGCGUUCAAGUUUGGAAGAAACGUUUGCGUUAGGUUAAACACACAAGGUUCAAGACUUUUAUAUAAAUAGAAGGUCUUGUUGUAUUGAGAGGUAAUAAGAGAGAGAAACAAGAUACAGAGAUAGUGUGAAGAGAGAAAACUUGUAAAGGUCUAAGCUUUGUGUUUAGUUUUCUCUAGCUUUAGGAGUUGACAGAGUGAAUCUUGAGUGCUAGUGAAGGGCAUUGAGAUGGGUCACUUGUAGCUCCUUUUGUAACACUAUCUGAAUCUAGUGGAUUCCGAGUUAAAGACUCGGCCAGACGUAGCUACCCUAGUUAACGGGAGUGAACUGGAUAAAGUCUUGUGUGUGCUCCCUUUCUUUAUCUUCUGCUUUGUCUCUUCAACCUUCUCUCUCUCUGGUUCGAACAACAACUCUGUUUCCUCUGUUCUUGUCUUCUGUUCACGUGUUUGUUGAGUCUUCUCCUAAGGAAAGUCGACGCCUUUAGGGCAAAGAAACUUAACAGAGUGGUAUCAGAGCUUAGGCUCAGUGUUUACGGGUCUGUAAAGAUCUUACAACAUCUGGACGAUGUCUUCGGCUCGAAUAGAAGUUGAGAAGUUUGAUGGUCGUGGUGACUAUACGAUGUGGAAAGAGAAACUCAUGGCUCAUCUGGAUAUUCUGGGUCUGAGUGCUGCUCUCAAGGAAACCGAAGCUGUGGAGGUUCAACCUGAUGGAUCUAAGCAGACAGAAGAAGAAGCGAAAGAAAAAGCUGAAAAGAUGGAAGCUUUAGACGAGAAGAGAAGAAAGGCUAGAAGCACCAUCGUCUUAAGCGUAACAGAUAGAGUUCUCAGGAAGAUCAAGAAGGAGCAGACUGCAGCUGCUAUGAUAAGUGCUCUUGACAAACUGUACAUGUCAAAAGCUCUUCCUAAUAGAAUCUAUCUUAAACAGAAGCUCUAUGGAUUCAAGAUGUCUGAGAAUCUGUCCAUAGAAGGCAACAUUGAUGAGUUUCUUCAGAUUAUAACAGAUCUGGAGAACACAAAUGUUGCAAUCUCUGAUGAGGACCAAGCUAUCUUGCUCCUCAUGUCUCUGCCAAAACCCUUUGAUCAGUUAAGAGAUACUUUAAAGUAUGGCACUGGAAGAUCCAUACUGACGUUAGAUGAAGUGAUUGCUGCUAUCUACUCAAAGGAACUUGAGUUUGGAUCUAACAAGAAAAGUAUUAAGGGCCAAGCUGAAGGUCUGUUUGCAAAGGGUAAAGGUGACUCAAGAGGAAGGUCUGAAGGUCGAGAUAGAAACAACAAGUCCUCAAGGACUAGAUCUAAGUCUAGAUCCAAGAAAGGAUGCUGGAACUGUGGUGAAGAUGGGCACUUUAAGGCGUCUUGUCCUAACAAGAGCAAAGGCCAAACUCGACCAAAAGACUAUAACCAUGGAAGAGGAGAGUCAUCUGGUGGCGAUGGAAACCUUGCAGAAGCUACAGGCCUCUAUGUGUCAGAAGCACUAUCUUCAACUGAUGUACAUCUUGAAGAUGAGUGGGUAAUGGACACCGGCUGUAGCUAUCACAUGACUCACAAGAGAGACUGGUUUGAAGAUUUAAAUGAAGAGGCUGGAGGCUCAGUGAGGAUGGGAAAUCAAACUGUCUCAAGAGUAAGAGGAGUUGGUACCGUGAGAGUCAAGAAUGAAGCAGGUCUGAGUGUUCUCUUGACAAACGUCAGGUACAUUCCUGACAUGGAUAGAAAUCUUCUAUCUUUGGGAACUCUGGAGAAAGCAGGCUACAAGUUUGAGUCUGAGAAUGGUAUUCUUAGCGUCAAAGCUGGAGAUCAGAUAUUGCUCGCUGGAAGAAGAUAUGAUACUCAGUAUCUAUUACAGUGGAGACCAGUUACGAACGCAGCUCUCAUUGCAAGACAAGAUGACACGGUCCUGUGGCACAGAAGGCUGGGACAUAUGAGCAUGAAGAACAUGAACAUUCUGCUCAAGAAGGGUUUUCUGGACAGGAAGAAGGUCUCUAACAUGGAACCGUGUGAAGACUGUAUCUAUGGGCGAGCUAAAAGAGUGGGUUUCAACUUGGCUCAGCACGAUACUAGAGAAAAGCUGGAGUAUGUCCACUCUGACCUAUGGGGAGCACCGUCAGUACCACAGUCUUUAGGCAGAAACCAGUACUUCAUCUCCUUUGUAGAUGAUUAUACCCGAAAGGUAUGGGUUUACUUUCUGAAAACGAAAGAUGAAGCCUUUGAGAAGUUUGUAGAGUGGCUCAGUCUGGUGGAAAAUCAAAGUGAGAGGAGGCUAAAGACCUUGAGAACAGACAACGGUCUAGAAUUCUGCAACAGGCAGUUUAAUGAGUUCUGUGAAGCUAAGGGAAUUCAACGUCACAGAACAUGCGCUUACACUCCACAACAAAAUGGAGUUGCAGAGCGCAUGAACAGAACACUCAUGGAGAAGGUGAGAAGCAUACUUAGUGACUCUGGUCUCCCAAAGAGAUUUUGGGCAGAGGCAACACAGACAGCAGCUACUCUCAUCAACAAAACACCCUCAUCAGCUCUGAACUUUGAUAUACCUGACAAGAAGUGGUUUGGAAGAACUCCUGCUUACAGCUAUCUGAGAAGGUUUGGAUGUGUGGCAUUUGUGCACACGGAUGAUGGUAAGCUCAAUCCGAGAGCUAAGAAAGGUGUUCUGGUUGGAUAUCCCCCAGGCGUGAAAGGGUACAAGGUCUGGUUACUCGAAGAGAAAAAAUGUGUAGUGAGCAGGAACGUUUUGUUUCAGGAGAAUGCAUCUUACAAAGAUGUGAUGACAAAACAACCUGACUCGUAUGAGGAAGAAGAUGCUUCUUCAGGCUCAUACCUCGAUCUAGACUUAGAAGCUGAAGAUAGUAUCACCUCAGGUGGAGAAGGUAACAAUGAUCAACUAUCAAGCUCAAGUGUUAGAUCUGUGCCGGGAUCUCCAUCAUCGUCAGUUGGUACAAGUGGCAGCAGUCAUGAUGCUACACGCAAAACGCCUCUGAGCUAUCACCUAGCAAGGGAUCGAGACAGGAGAGACGUAAGACCUCCUAGGCGUUUCGAUGAUGAGGAUUAUUUUGCUGAGGCUUUAUAUACCUCUGAAGAUGGUGGAGAAGUGGAGCCUGAAGACUACAGGGAAGCUACAAGGAGUGUAAACUGGGAAGAAUGGAAAGCUGCCAUGGAUGAUGAAAUGAGAUCUCAAGCCAAAAAUCAUACCUGGACAGUGGUAAAGAGGCCUGAGAAUCAGAGAGUCAUUGGGAGCCGUUGGAUUUACAAGUAUAAACUUGGUAUACCAGGAGUGGAGCAGUCUAGAUUCAAAGCAAGAUUAGUAGCCAAGGGCUAUGCUCAGAGAGAAGGAAUCGACUACCAUGAGAUCUUUGCCCCUGUUGUCAAACAUGUAUCUAUAAGGAUCUUGUUGUCGAUGGUUGUUCAAGAAGAUAUGGAACUAGAGCAACUGGAUGUCAAAACCGCCUUUCUACAUGGUGAGCUAAAUGAGAAGAUUUACAUGGCUCCACCAGAAGGUUUUGAAUCAUUAUUUCAAGAGGAUGAAGUGUGUCUACUCAACAAGUCUCUGUACGGUCUUAAACAAGCACCAAGACAAUGGAAUGAGAAGUUUGAUGCUUAUAUCACAGAGAUUGGGUUUGUAAGAAGUGAGUAUGACAGUUGUGCUUACAUCAAGGAGCUAGCAGACGGGUCAAAGAUGUAUCUUCUCAUCUAUGUAGAUGAUAUGCUAGUAGCAGCCAAGGAUCUAGAAGCUAUUCAACAUCUCAAGAAGGAACUUAGUUUGAAGUUUGAAAUGAAAGACUUGGGUGCUGCUAAAAGGAUACUGGGUAUGGAGAUUGUUAGAGACAGAGCCGCUGGUGAACUAUGGUUGUCACAAGAAAGUUACCUGAACAAGAUCUUAGACACCUAUGGAAUGCUUGAAGCCAAGCCAGUCUCAACACCUCUGGGAGCCCAUCUGAAGCUGAGCUCUGCAACUGAAGAGCAGAUAGCGCAAGAUGAAGAGUUUAUGAAGUCAGUUCCUUAUUCAAAUGCUGUUGGCAGUAUCAUGUACGCAAUGACAGGAACCCGUCUUGAUCUUGCCUAUCCAGUAGGGAUCAUCAGCCGGUACAUGAGCAACCCUAUCAAAGAUCACUGGAAUGGAGUAAAGUGGGUCAUGAGAUAUAUCAAGGGUACUCUGACCACAAAGAUGUUGUUCAAAAGGAGUUCUGAGUUCAAGAUCACUGGUUACUGCGAUGCUGACUUUGCUGCAGACCCUGAUCGAAGAAGAUCAAUCACUGGUUUGGUGUUCACUCUUGGAGGAAACACUAUAAGCUGGAAAUCAGGAUUGCAGCGAGUUGUUGCCUUGUCUACGACAGAGUCUGAGUAUAUGUCGUUGACUGAAGCUGUGAAGGAAGCCGUAUGGCUUAAAGGGUUACUGAAGGAGUUUGGUUAUGAUCAGAAAAGUGUGGAGAUUUUCUGUGAUUCUCAAAGUGCUAUAGCACUCUCCAAGAACAAUGUGCAUCAUGAACGAACGAAGCACAUCGAUGUCAAGUGUCACUACAUACGGGAGAUCAUUGCUAGUGGUGACAUUGAUGUUGUGAAGAUUUCAACUGAGAAGAAUCCGGCUGAUAUCUUCACGAAGACUCUGGCAGUUAGCAAGUUUCAAACCGCUUUGAACUUGCUACAUGUCAGCCCUGAGUAGUAAAACUCAGGGGAUCCGAGUCUUGGAAUCCUGCAACUAGAUUCAAAGGUAUUGUUUCUCUCUCUCUCAAUGUGUGUGUGGAAGUUUGGUUCUGUCAUCACGAUUUCAGGUGGAGAUUUGUGAAGAUGAAACCUUGAUGACCAAGCAACUACCAACUUCAAAGUGUACUCAGACUUAACUCAAGUUCUAACUACGGAUGGUGUAUAUCAAACCUGAGUUAGACAUGCUUUUGGGACCACUUCUUGGGAAACGGCUACACCGCCUCUUCAUGAUCGUACCGUUGUACUUUGUGUCUCCAAGAGUUCAAAAGCACAUUUGGAAUGUUGUGAUAAGCGUGACUUGAUGAUGCAAGACAGCGUUCAAGUUUGGAAGAAACGUUUGCGUUAGGUUAAACACACAAGGUUCAAGACUUUUAUAUAAAUAGAAGGUCUUGUUGUAUUGAGAGGUAAUAAGAGAGAGAAACAAGAUACAGAGAUAGUGUGAAGAGAGAAAACUUGUAAAGGUCUAAGCUUUGUGUUUAGUUUUCUCUAGCUUUAGGAGUUGACAGAGUGAAUCUUGAGUGCUAGUGAAGGGCAUUGAGAUGGGUCACUUGUAGCUCCUUUUGUAACACUAUCUGAAUCUAGUGGAUUCCGAGUUAAAGACUCGGCCAGACGUAGCUACCCUAGUUAACGGGAGUGAACUGGAUAAAGUCUUGUGUGUGCUCCCUUUCUUUAUCUUCUGCUUUGUCUCUUCAACCUUCUCUCUCUCUGGUUCGAACAACAACUCUGUUUCCUCUGUUCUUGUCUUCUGUUCACGUGUUUGUUGAGUCUUCUCCUAAGGAAAGUCGACGCCUUUAGGGCAAAGAAACUUAACAAG